GAACGCCUGGCGGCAGGCUUAACACAUGCAAGUCGAACGGUCUCUUCGGAGGCAGUGGCAGACGGGUGAGUAACGCGUGGGAAUCUACCUAGUUCUACGGAACAAACAGUUGGAAACGAAUGCUAAUACCGGUAUACCCCUACGGGGGGAAGAAUUUAUCGGAAUUAGAUGAGCCCGCGUAAGAUUAGCUAGUUGGUGGGGUAAUGGCCCUACCCAAGGCGACGAUCUUUAGCUGGUCUGAGAGGAUGAUCAGCCACACUGGGACUGAGACACGGCCCAGACUCCUACGGGAGGCAGCAGUGGGGAAUAUUGGACAAUGGGCGCAAGCCUGAUCCAGCCAUGCCGCGUGAGUGAUGAAGGCCUUAGGGUUGUAAAGCUCUUUCAGUGGGGAAGAUAAUGACGGUACCCACAGAAGAAGCCCCGGCUAACUUCGUGCCAGCAGCCGCGGUAAUACGAAGGGGGCUAGCGUUGUUCGGAUUUACUGGGCGUAAAGCGCACGUAGCGGAUUGGUCAGUUAGGGUGAAAUCCCAAAGC
rnacentral:rRNA from 1 species